GAUGAACGCUGGCGGCGUGCCUAAUACAUGCAAGUCGAGCGAACAGACGAGGAGCUUGCUCCUCUGACGUUAGCGGCGGACGGGUGAGUAACACGUGGAUAACCUACCUAUAAGACUGGGAUAACUUCGGGAAACCGGAGCUAAUACCGGAUAACAUGUUGAACCGCAUGGUUCAACAGUGAAAGACGGUCUUGCUGUCACUUAUAGAUGGAUCCGCGCCGCAUUAGCUAGUUGGUAAGGUAACGGCUUACCAAGGCAACGAUGCGUAGCCGACCUGAGAGGGGGAUCGGCCACACUGGAACUGAAACACGGUCCAGACUCCUACGGGAGGCAGCAGUAGGGAAUCUUCCGCAGUGGGCGAAAGCCUGACGGAGCAACGCCGCGUGAGUGAUGAAGGUCUUCGGAUCGUAAAACUCUGUUAUUAGGGAAGAACAAAUGUGUAAGUAACUAUGCACGUCUUGACGGUACCUAAUCAGAAAGCCACGGCUAACUACGUG
rnacentral:rRNA from 1 species